CUUCCACGCUUUGCGCGCAGCCCGCCGCGCGGCCAAGCUCUUGGAUAAAGACUGCUGCCAGAUCAGAAAAGGAUGCGCAGGAGCUUUCACAGAAAAGGACUGAAGCUUGCAAGAAAAUGUGAGGCAUUUGAGGCAAAGCUUUGGACCUAAAUUUGUCCCUACGUAAUCAUGAACUAGAGUAAUUGGAAACAGUACCACGUAGGCCAAGGGGUAGAAGACUUGAAGCCAGUACCACCAAUGAGAGUUCUAGUAUCCUUUGGAAUAUGGCAGUGAUGGAAGGACAAAAAAGGUAAGAAGAGGCAGAUGCUUGUAGUAGAUAGUAGAAUCCUGAAUCCUGAACCUUCUUUCUUUACUUCUCAGCCUGUGAAGGGAAGUAUGGCAUCCUCACUAAGAGAACUACAUCACCACAUACCUGAAGACAGCAGCACCACUUAACCUUCAGCUGAAACUUCUAAAACCAAGUGGCCAAAAAAAAAUCAAUCUUUUUUUCAACAAACUUUCAAGUAUUUUCUCACCUUGACCAACAAUUAGCUGACACAACCACAAAUAGAAUGUUGUGUGACUUUGAAAUGUGAACCAAGAUCUAUUUCCUUCAGGUAUAGCCUUAAUAGCAGAUCAGACAAAUUAUUCGACAACAUUCUGGCUUAGAGAACCAGUAAGUUUAUUACGGGUUACUUACAGAAGCAUGGAUAAUUGCUUAUGUGCAAGACCACUGGUGUCACACAGGUGUCUGCAUCCAUAAAAACGCUAGUGCAUUGACCAACUCACAAAAGCUGCAUUCCUGGAACUUCGGAAACCAUUUCCAGGCAGCUCAGCUGGGCAGUCUCUGCCUUCACCAGCAAUUGUGUAUGGUUUCUAUAACCCUGCCUCUUUUCUUAACUCUUAGAAACUGCCUUUCUCACUGCAUGGAGGGGAGGGGAUGAUUCAAGUUACAGGUCCUAGCUACAUACAGAUGUGCGUUCUCGGUCAAUACUUAACUUGACACUUACGAACUCCUGUCUCCAUUUAUGACGCAGUAUGAGGCUUCAUAAACUUUCCUUUCAUUUGUGCUUUUUUUUUUUGUCUACUGUCAUCAACAGACUGCUUCUGAACUAUUUGAAGAUAGUAUUAAAGAGAAUGGCUAGAAAGAGAUUGUGUAUAGCUUCAAUGAUAUCAAAACUUUUGAAUUCUCCAAGUCCAAGCCUCCGUAAUAUCCAUUUAUUGGCCUUACAUAUAUACGUCCAUAUUUUGUAUUUUUCAAGAAAUCCUUUAGAAUUUAUGAGCAGACUCCUAGUUUCCACUAACCAAAAGGCUAAGAAUGUUGUCAGUCAGCAUUGUAAUCUUAGAGCAGACAUUUUCCUGCCUUGCUGUAAUUUACCUUUCUAAUGGACAUACCAUCAAUUUGAAAAUUGCGAUCUUUUAUGACUUUCUUUGUUCUAUUACCAUAAAAGGUUCAUGAAACUGCUGCCUCAGAGAAACAUGUUCACUCAUAUUUGGCUCCUUGUAUUCAUUUGAGGUGAGAGCCAUUUCUUUCUUGGGCAGAAAGGGCUCUAUUAUUCAUAUCUGAGAUCCCCAAACUUAGCUAAAAGCCUUAUCUAUAGCACAUGUGUAGAGAUCACAUUAUCUAAGAUGAUGAACAAGUGAAUAUGGCUGCAGAAAAAACCAUGGAAUUAUUCUCAGCAGAAUAGAUCUAACUAUAUUUCUAACUAGAAAUAGAUCCAGAUUUGGACUUAGAAAAUCAGAUGGUCCAACAGAUCGGUGUGGGUAACUCAAGGAGAUAACGUAUUUCACUGGAAAAGGGAAGAUGGAGAGAAAAGCGUGGUAAAACAAAGCAAAAGCUGGAAAUUCAAUCUCCUAGUAUAGAAAUAGAAUAUUCAUUCUAUAGAAAUAGUCAUAAGAGGAGAAUUAAGAGCUGAAUAAUCUCUC
rnacentral:sRNA from 1 species